CUGAAUGGGGCAACCCACUAUAUUGAAGAUAUAGUACCAUUAAUGGGGCAAACCCGGAGAACUGAAACAUCUAAGUACCCGGAGGAGAAGAAAACAAAAGUGAUUUCCUGAGUAGCGGCGAGCGAAACGGAACUAGCCCAAACCAGUGUUGUUACGGCAACAUUGGGGUUGUAGGACUAUGACAUGGAUUGUACAAAGAACUGGAACGUUUUGGAAAGAACGAUCAUAGAGGGUGAUAAUCCCGUACAGGUAAGUCUGUAUAAAUCCUAAUAGUAUCCUGAGUAGCGCGGGGCACGUGAAACCUUGCGUGAAUCAGCCGGGACCAUCCGGUAAGGCUAAAUACUCC
rnacentral:rRNA from 1 species